rnacentral:rRNA from 1 species
CCUACGGGUGGCUGCAGUGGGGAAUAUUGGACAAUGGGGGAAACCCUGAUCCAGCAAUGCCGCGUGGGUGAUGAAGGCCUUCGGGUUGUAAAGCCCUUUUGGCGGGGACGAUGAUGACGGUACCCGCAGAAUAAGCCCCGGCUAACUUCGUGCCAGCAGCCGCGGUAAUACGAAGGGGGCUAGCGUUGUUCGGAAUUACUGGGCGUAAAGGGCGCGUAGGCGGCCCUGUCAGUCGGGCGUGAAAGCCCCGGGCUCAACCCGGGAAAUGCGUUCGAUACUGCAAGGCUUGAGUGUGGGAGAGGAUGGUGGAAUUCCCAGUGUAGAGGUGAAAUUCGUAGAUAUUGGGAAGAACACCGGUGGCGAAGGCGGCCAUCUGGACCACUACUGACGCUGAGGCGCGAAAGCGUGGGGAGCAAACAGGAUUAGAUACCCUGGUAGUC